UGUGACUGCAAAGCUGGAGUACGGCAGAGGGGGAUGGAAUUCCGCGUGUAGCAGUGAAAUGCGUAGAUAUGCGGAGGAACACCGAUGGCGAAGGCAAUCCCCUGGGCCUGUACUGACGCUCAUGCACGAAAGCGUGGGGAGCAAACAGGAUUAGAUACCCUGGUAGUCCACGCCCUAAACGAUGUCAACUGGUUGUUGGGUGGGUUUCUACUCAGUAACGAAGCUAACGCGUGAAGUUGACCGCCUGGGGAGUACGGCCGCAAGGUUGAAACUUCAAAGGAAUUGACGGGGACCCGCACAAGCGGUGGAUGAUGUGGUUUAAUUCGAUGCAACGCGGAAAAACCUUACCUACCCUUUGACAUGGCAAGAAUCCUGGAGAGAUCUGGGAGUGCUCGAAAAGAGAGCUUGGCACACAGGUGCUGCAUGGCCGUCGUCAGCUCGUGUCGUGAGAUGUUGGGUUAUGUCCCGCAACGAGCGCAACCCUUGUCAUCAGUUGCUACGAAAGGGCACUCUGAUGAGACUGCCGGUGACAAACCGGAGGAAGGUG
rnacentral:rRNA from 1 species